GUCUUCCAGGGCAGGACAAAAAUAGCACCUGAUGGAGAGUGGCAUGACGCACGAUUCAUCCGGGAAAGCUUUCCAAUAUCGUAAUAUCACAUUGGCAGUGAAGGAAAACCUUUACUUCGCCAGGUUACAUUUCAGGCCUGAUUAACGACCUGAGGCACGAGGCCCCGGCUCUGCACGGUGACGUGAAGACUGCGUUUCCGCAGCGAACGCUGACUGGACGGAAGCAACGCUGUGGAUGUGAGGCCCGCAUGUGAUCGUUAGGUCGUUCAUUUGCAUAUGUAACACUAACGUUGUUACAAGGACAACUAUAAAAAAAUAUUUUCUUUCAAAUACAGUAAGAAAAACUACCAACAUGUAACUACUACUACUGCCAAAACAAUUACUGUAAACACACAAAUACUGAUGUAUAAAUCCUCUUAGAAUCAAGUGUAUUACGAAAUUAAUUAUAAUUUUAACCUUAUCAAAGUCGGGAGUUGAUGCAGCAUCUUACAAAAACGAGUACUUUUCAGCAGUUGUGAAAGAAUUUUCAGAUUUUUCCUUCCUUCAACGCAGACGUUUAAAAUAAUUGUCAAAUCUCUGUCCAUGGUGCUGAACACACGCUGAUUGUACGGUGUUUUCCAAGAUUCUAAUUAGAGACCACGGCUCGUCUGCAGAUUUACUACUUAUUAAACGAGUUUGUCUGUAAUUAAAUAUUUGUAUUGUCCUCCUCAACAUUACACCUUCUGCUAAAAUGUUCUUUUUCACAUCCACAAUUGUAUUGCCAGUUGAUUGUCAACAAUAUUAUCCUCUAUUGAUUGACGAAAACUAAUUAUAAAAAAAAUCAUUAUUAUUUUUGAGUUCUUGACAUUGGUGUCCUUAAAAACACAACACACUGACAUUUGUUUGCUGAGAAGCUGCCAUUCACACCUACACCCAACUUGUUCUUCACUCACUUUUCACAACACACACAGUGAAGCCACAUCAUUAACAGCCGUGGACCGAGUGCUUCAUACAGCCAACAGUAAAAUCUUUACCUGAUUGGAGUAAACAAAGAUGGUGACUUCUGUGACAGCUAAAAACAAGACGAGGAUCUUUCUGGGGGAAAAAAAAGUGACGUGUCCUCUAAUUUAGUAUCUGUGCGGCUGCCACACUGUGAGGCAGGAACACCUCCAAUUAGUGGCAUUUCUGAGAAAUAAAAAGCAGCGUUACAGACAGAUAUGAGCACACCCUGGGCAGCCUGAUUACUGCUGUGGAACGCAAGAAUAUAAUCAGGCACAGACAUGGCAGAAAUAUGAUGCAUUCAACAUAUAGUCCUAACUCUUUUAGGGACCUCUCUCUGCGUAAAACCAUCCUAUUGGUGUUGGAGCUCAACUACAGAGGGUCCGACUGAUUUAAACUGAUACUAGAGGUUGUGCAGAAGUUGAUGAACUGCCAAACAAUGGAUCAGAUAAGUCACAGUAACUGACAGUUCCCUGGGAGCCUAGAACAAGAAAGUGACAAAGUAUACAAUUAGAACUGAGAAGAAACGUCGCCUGUUGUGAAUACUGUUUAUUUCUGCUGCAACCAGUGAAGGAUUAGAGUUUAGCAUCAAACCAUGAAUCUUUCCCGCCUGUUAUGAAAGCUUCAGACCACUGCUGGUCAUUGUACGGUGUGGGGAGAUAUUUUCUUGGCACAUUCUGACGAACCAGAGUGCCAUCUUGGCAGUACUGUAAACACUGAAUUAUGUAAGGAAGGUUUUUAAAAGACCAGUGAGCCUCAAUGACCUG